AAUACAGCUAUUUAUGCAGCGACGUGUAGGCGUUCCUGUUCCUCAGCAAACAGAACGAGCCCGCAGUGAGGAGGUUGGAUUGCUGCAACCCGAGGUGAGCGCGGUGCGUUGAGACCCCGACAGAAGACGUGUCACCGAGCUGUCCUCGCGGGGUGAGCACACGGCGUUAUUGACAUAGUACAGAUCGCUACCGCGUGUUGUAGCAGAGCUUAGAAGGAUUUACCAGGGGAGAAAAAAGCUUUUCCUUUUAAUAAUUGAUUUGUUAUAAAUAAUGCAUUAAGAAAUGCUGCUUUGAUUUAAAGCCCGUGGUGUUAAUGCAUGCUAAAUUCUGGUGUACUUGACGGCAAUAAAUCCAGGGAAUCCUGCACGUUCACAUCCUGGCUGUCUGGAGCAGAAAGCUGCGUGUCCGAGGCUGCAACAGCCCAGCAAAGCCGUGCAUAGAGAGAACCAGCAUCCCUUGAGCAGCCAGCAUCCUGCUCCUCCUCCAGCAGCUGGAUGUGUCCUGCACCCACACGGCUGGGACAAAGGCCGACUCACGUGGUGUGCUGAGUGUGAGCAGACGGAGCCGCCACGCUGGGGGCACAACACCCAUCAAAAUGCUUCGAAUUGUUAAAAUAUUUUGUGGCUGAGGCCUCUUCUGCGUCCUGGUGUGUGGCAGGGUGGAAUAAACUUGAGCGUUAGAAGGAAGCAGAGGGGACUUUUCUGUUUUUAUCCUGUUUUGACCUAACGAUGCUGGGAUCUGUCUGUGCUGCUGGCUGCAAAGCACCAGCCUGGGAACCUCUGAUGCUGAGUUUCUAAGAGAUGCCAUAUUCUCACACAGUGGUUGGAAUAGAUUGUCAUCACCUGAAACUUCAUUUUGAAGUCAUUUGACUUAAAACCUUCUCUUUUCUCAGCUUACAGCCUCCUGUGAUGUUACAGUACAGCUUCCCUUCCCGAUACCCAGAGCUGACAAGACUUUAAUUUCUAAUUUCAAAAACCAAGAGAUAACAGUUAUUCUUGGAGAAUGUGCUUGGCUUUAAGCUUUUAAGAUUUUCUUGUCGCAGGGGCCCAAAGCUGAACACAGCGGUGGUAGAUGUGGCAGUUGGGGACGUGGUCAGUGGACAUGGUGGGGUUGGGUUGGGGUUGGACUUGUCAUCUUAGAGGUCUUUCCCAGCCUUAAUUAUUCUGUGGUUCUAUGAUUCUGUGAUUCCAUGAUUCUAUGACUUCUUUGUACAGAGUGAGAAAGGAAAAAAAUGAAUGUUUUCAUUUCGAAGAGGCUUUUCUGUCAAACAUGGGAACACUUCUCUCAACAUCAGUUCAGCGAAUGAACUCCUCAUCUCCACACUCACAUCAUUUGUAAAUGCUGGUUUGAGGCUGACAUUGUCCCAUCCUGCUCUGGCUAUGGGAUAGCCCCUACCAGGCCCUGCAGCUCUGGGUCCCCCUCCCCAUCCCAAAAUUUCAAAGCUGGCAGUUCCUGACCACAACCGGCUCCACUUAAAGCCUUCCCCACGGACUGAAAUAACUUGAAGGAACAAACAGCAGAAACCUGAUCCCACAGCCUGAGGUCCGACCAUGUAAUUUCCAUUGGAGAUCAGCUCUGGGGACCCGUGGUCCCAGGGGAUGUCUGUAAUGGUCUCACUAUUGAUUAAAGGCGAAGCAGUGUCCACACUGAGACCCACAGCAGGAAACCACCCUGUUGCUGCUUUAGGGCUGCAAAUACCAGAGCGAUCCCCCAACCCAUGCAUGCAUUAGCACUGGGAGGGGGGCACCCUGAGCUGUAUUUAUAGAAGAAGAGCCUUUUUCCUAACAUAGCAGAGGAGCUGACCUCGUCUCUGUGCAGGGAGACAAGUCAGCCCUGUCAGGUCCUGCAAACACGGCCCUCCCAGAGGAGACGCGACCCACAGCCCCAGCUGUGAACCUGGGGGAGAAGAAACAUCCCAGUGCCGGGCAGUGCAUGGGAAUGGCCCCUUCCUCCGUGUGCCGACAGAUGUGGUGUGAAUGCGUGCUGUCUAUAGCACAACAGCAGAGUCAGCACCACCCAGCAGACCCUCUCUGUGGAUGGGUGACAUCCUGGUGGCUUUGGCCAAGCACUGAGGUGAUGCUUGGUGCCCACCCUGACCCCAUGUGAGUGCCAAGCACAGGGCAUGGUGUGUGGUGCAUGGGACGUGGAGCACGGUGCAAGGUGCAUGGUGCAUGGUGCACAUUGCUCUCCCACCAGCUGCCCUCCAGCUAUUCCUGCUGCAAACUCCUGGCAAGUAAGAACCAGGAUUUCUGAUUCCUGCUGCCAUGGGCAGGAAGGCAUGGCCAUAGAAAUUACUGGUGUUUGGGCUUUUUUGGACCCCCCUCACACUCUGUAAUAAAUGUUAAAUCACUGGAAGACUUUCCUGUUUAAACAGCUCUGGAUGCAUCUCUGCCUG